rnacentral:rRNA from 1 species
AGUGAACGCUGGCGGUAUGCCUAACACAUGCAAGUCGAACGGCAGCACAGUAAGAGCUUGCUCUUACGGGUGGCGAGUGGCGGACGGGUGAGGAAUACAUCGGAAUCUACUUUUUCGUGGGGGAUAACGUAGGGAAACUUACGCUCAUACCGCAUACGACCUUCGGUUGACGGCAGGGGAUAUUCGGACCUUUCGCGAUUGAAUUAACCGCUUUGGGAUUAGUUAGUUGGUUGGGUAAAGGCCCACCAAGGCGACGAGCCGUAGCUGGUCUGAGAGGAUGAUCGGCCACACUGGAACUGAGACAGGGUCACGAGUCCGACGGAGGGAAGCAGUGGGGAAUAUUGGACAAUGGGCGCAAGCUGGACCCACCCAUCCCGCGUGAGUGAAGAAGGCCUUGGGGUGGUAAAGCCCUUUUGUUGGGAAAAAAAAGCAGCAGGUUAAUACCCUGCUGUUCUGACGGUACCCAAAGAAGAAGAACCGGCUAACUUCGUG